rnacentral:rRNA from 1 species
GUUUGAUCCUGGCUCAGGAUGAACGCUAGCUACAGGCUUAACACAUGCAAGUCGAGGGGAAACGACAUCGAAAGCUUGCUUUUGAUGGGCGUCGACCGGCGCACGGGUGAGUAACGCGUAUCCAACCUGCCCACCACUUGGGGAUAACCUUGCGAAAGUAAGACUAAUACCCAAUGAUAUCUCUAGAAGACAUCUGAAAGAGAUUAAAGAUUUAUCGGUGAUGGAUGGGGAUGCGUCUGAUUAGCUUGUUGGCGGGGUAACGGCCCACCAAGGCGACGAUCAGUAGGGGUUCUGAGAGGAAGGUCCCCCACAUUGGAACUGAGACACGGUCCAAACUCCUACGGGAGGCAGCAGUGAGGAAUAUUGGUCAAUGGGCGAGAGCCUGAACCAGCCAAGUAGCGUGCAGGAUGACGGCCCUAUGGGUUGUAAACUGCUUUUAUAAGGGAAUAAAGUGAGUCUCGUGAGACUUUUUGCAUGUACCUUAUGAAUAAGGACCGGCUAAUUCCGUGCCAGCAGCCGCGGUAAUACGGAAGGUCCGGGCGUUAUCCGGAUUUAUUGGGUUUAAAGGGAGCGUAGGCCGGAGAUUAAGCGUGUUGUUAAAUGUAGAUGCUCAACAUCUGAACUGCAGCGCGAACUGGUUUCCUUGAGUACGCACAAAGUGGGCGGAAUUCGUGGUGUAGCGGUGAAAUGCUUAGAUAUCACGAAGAACUCCGAUUGCGAAGACAGCUCACUGGAGCGCAACUGACGCUGAAGCUCGAAAGUGCGGGUAUCGAACAGGAUUAGAUACCCUGGUAGUCCGCACGGUAAACGAUGGAUGCCCGCUGUUGGUCUGAAUAGGUCAGCGGCC